rnacentral:rRNA from 1 species
CAGCCGCCGCGGUAAUACGUAGGUGGCAAGCGUUGUCCGGAAUUAUUGGGCGUAAAGGGCUCGCAGGCGGUUUCUUAAGUCUGAUGUGAAAGCCCCCGGCUCAACCGGGGAGAGUCAUUGGAAACUGGGAAACUUGAGUGCAGAAGAGGAGAGUGGAAUUCCACGUGUAGCGGUGAAAUGCGUAGAGAUGUGGAGGAACACCAGUGGCGAAGGCGACUCUCUGGUCUGUAACUGACGCUGGGGAGCGAAAGCGUGGGGAGCGAACAGGAUUAGAUACCCCGGUAGUCCCUGUCUCUUAUAC